UGGGCACUCUAAUCGUACUGCCGGAGUUAAUCCGGAGGAAGGCGGGGAUGACGUCAAGUCCUCAUGGCCCUUACAAGGUGGGCUACACACGUGCUACAAUGGCGACUACAGAGGGCUGCAAUCCCGCGAGGGGGAGCCAAUCCCUAAAAGUCGUCUCAGUUCGGAUUGUUCUCUGCAACUCGAGAGCAUGAAGUUGGAAUCGCUAGUAAUCGCGGAUCAGCAUGCCGCGGUGAAUACGUUCCCGGGCCUUGUACACACCGCCCGUCACACCAUGGGAGUUGGCUUUACCCGAAGGCGCUGCGCUAACCGCAAGGAGGCAGGCGACCACGGUAGGGUCAGCGACUGGGGUGAAGUCGUAACAAGGUAGCCGUAGGGGAACCUGCGGCUGGAUCACCUCCUUU
rnacentral:ncRNA from 1 species